UGAGCCUGUAGGUGUGCAUAGCGUGCUCGGGGAAGGCGCGGAGGCGAUGAAUUCCAGCAAUGGCGUUGGCGGUGCAGAGAAGGGGAACGACUCGAUCCGGUCGAAGCAGAGGCACUCGGCUCGUGUUCUUCAGCGUAGAGGAAGCAGCGGAGGCGGGAGGAGCUCCUGGCGCAAUCCUAGGUGAUGGGGAGGGCAGUGGCCACGGGAUCGACGAGGGCCAUGGCGACGACGGAGUUGGGCACAUCCAGAACGGGAAGAGGGAGUGAGAAGAGGGGCGAAUGGGGGCUAGGGUUUGCAGGGGGGUUCGAGAUGACCUUGUAGGACGCCGGUGCGUCACUCGAUGGCCGGCACGUGGCCAGUCCGGCCAUGGACGCCGUGGGCGCGUCCAGCGCGUCUCCUGUGAACAGGAGGUAGGAGGAAACCUCCUGGUGGGCUGGGCUACCUACUGGUCCUUUGGGCCUUAGGUGUACAGUAGCUAGGUUUCUCUCAUUUGUUUAAUUUUUCUGUUUCAGUUUAUUCUUUGUUUUCUUUUAUACACCACUGUUUUGCACUACUUUUAAAUACCAAUUGAAUUUUGUUCAUCAUGAAACUUGUCGCUUAAAUACUUCGCAAUAUUUUGGAAAGAAACAUAAAGUUUGAGGUCAAUUGGAAUUGUAUAAAUAUUUGCUUAUACUGUAAAGGCUAUUUUAUUUGUUGUUGGACCAUUUAUUAAUUUCCUAGGGAUUUAUCUGUGAGUCAAAUGAAGUUGGUUUCUACAUGAUAAUUAGCUAGUGAAUAUCUGCAACCCAACCAACAUUUUUGUUUUAUUUUUGAAGAAAACAAUUUGACAUGCAAAUUUGAAUAUGAAUAUGAAGUUGAUUUGGAACAAAGUGAUGAUUAGCAAAAAUAAUUGUGAUGACUUGGCAGUCAUUAGCAGGAGUUUACUGUAGCAUGAUUAUCGGGGUGUUACAAAUCUCCUCCACUACAAGAAAUCUCGUCCCGAGAUUUAAGGGGUGGAGUAAGGGGGAAAGGCUUGGGAAGGACAGAGCUGAACAUAAGAUAGUUACGUGGGGGCUAUCUCAAUGAACGUGGCAUAGAGUCACCUCUCGAGUCGAAAUUCAAGAAAGACGUUGAGAGCAAGGUAAGGAGGUGCAAUAAGAAGCUUCAACCGGGUAGGCAAUCGUUUGUUGCCUAAAACAUAGGGUGAAAGGGGUUCAGAGCAAUGGGAAUAGGUAUUGCGUCUGAUACCAGAAUAGAUUGCUAGGAAUGUGGCUCGUGAUUUACAUACGAAGCCAAGUGCGAGGAACAAUUUUGUAAAACAGGGAUUUACAGGAGAGUCAGGUUUCAAUCCUGUGGAGCGGUGGGUUAUGGGCCCACCACGUGGUUUAAAAAGUAGGAAAGGUGCUGACAUCUUGCACGGUCAUGAUAGCAAGGCAUGUCAGAGGAUACCUGUCAGUUAUGUUGGCAACAACAUUGGUACCAAGGGCGAGGGACGAAGAGAACCAUUCUCCUGCUCGUUGGACGAGGCGGACCAAUAGGCAAGGUUCUCGUCCAUCGGUGGUACCGUAAUGUUAUCAACAAUAGUAACAGGGUCUUACUGUCAGAGUUGUUCAACCAAGGUGUUUACCUAAGCAGGGAAAUAUUACUGCUUAUAUCAUAUAGAUCACAAGAAAGGUUAAACAAGCAACGGAAAGGAAAAAUGUGAUUAGUAUAUUAAUCAGACCAAUGGAAAGGAAACAUGUUUAUACUCAAGUAUCAAGAGUAUAUCUUUCCCAAGAACAAGGAGAGGAUGAUAUCCAUGAGAGGAUAGUAAGUAGAUUACCAUUUAGGUAAACGGGGGAGGAAAAAUCAUGACGUUACCCCUACAAUAGUGUUUGGAUAAGUGAUCAUGAAACAUUUAGUAUUGCGCCUCCAAUGUCCUUAAGAUGUUCGGAGUACCGCAGCCAUGCUUCGGGAUAGCCUUGACAUGGUCACCAAGUAAAGUUCAGACUUUGGAUACACAAAGGAUCCACCAGAAACAACUUAUAAAAUAAGUCAUACCAAUUCAGCAAGGAAAAAAUGAGGAUGUGGCCGAUGGUUUCAACAGAAAUCCACCGACAUGUCAAAAUGAUGUAUUUCCAAAAUUUAUAUGAACAAGUUUGUGUUGGGGCGGUAGGCAAGAAUGUUGUCGAUGAUAACACAAAUCGAGGGGUAAGGAUGGUAUUUUUCAUCGCGAAUUUGAUUGAUAUGCUGGAAGAGCUCAGAAUGUUGACGAUGAUCAUGACAUUUGUCGAGAGAUUUCAUGAAGAUGUAAUCAAUCGGCGACGACAUCAAGUCAAAGGAAUGAUAAAGCAAAAUGUUAUUGGAACCACAGGUAUGACACAAACUCGAAAUCAAGCUUGUUGUUCAAGGUGAAAUGACAUGGCAAGGAAGAUAGACAUAAGUUUAUCUCGUCGUCGAAAGUUGUGCUCUGGGAAGAAGGACCAUGUACCACAAUUAAAAUUUAUCACGAUAAUGAUAUAGCCGAUCAGGCUAGGAAUGACUUGAAGGAUUAUUGAACUUGUAAGCAACGAAAAAUUACUUAGAGAUGUUGAAUCGGAGUGCGGGAUCGAUUCUCUUAUCGGUGUUCUCAAGUAACUGAUAACCCAGAACCCGGGGGAAAAUCUGAAAUCGGUGAGAAGUAAUACUAGAUGAAUAUUCAUGGGAAGCAACUCAGUUAUUUGAUAUACUCGAGAUAUCGUAGGAUAAUACUUGAAUGAAGAUCAAAAUAGAGGUUGCGAAGAUGCAUUUAUCUACAGAAGACAAGUGCUUUAACUUGUCCGAGAAAUGGAAUCAAAGGGGAACAAUUAUGGUCAGAACCACGGUUGCAAAGGAUCAAAUCCUAGAUAUAAGAUGAUCUUAUACCAAGAGGAUAAUUAAUUUUAAGAGAAGCAUCCAUGAUAAGAUCUACAUCAUGUCCAUGGGCAUGAACAUAAAGUUCAAGGUCGACUCCCACUUCUUCAAUGCAUAUCAUUUCAUUUACUUCUCACUAUCGAUGAAGUUGUAGUGUUGAAAAGUUAUCUGGCAAAACACCAGAAGAGUAAGACUCGCUAAAACUCUCAGGUUCAAACGGAUUAGGGGAGGCAUAGGUUCGACCCAUAGGGGCAUCUUAGGAGCAUAUACCACAAACUUCAGAAGUAAACAACACAAGCUCGAAAGCAGAGCAUGGUUGACAAAAGGAGAGGAUACAAUUACCAAAGGCAUUAUGUAUCUGGGAAAGAACUUCAUGAGAUUCUUUGAAUAUGAAGGACACUGUCGGAUGAUAAUCCAAUAAUGGACCCGGCGAUCCACAACGGAGCUGAUGUGAGUAUCGAUAUUCAAUUAGAAGAAGAAAUAAUGCAGAGGCAUCAGAUUUUGGAAAUAUUUGAUAAUUCCAAAGCUUAAAUGCAAAGGAAUUAUGAUUUCCAAUUCGGGGAAUCAGAAUUAGAUGCUCUAAUCAAAAGAUAAGCAAGUUGAAAAUACAUAGACCGACAAUCAUUCAAGGUUUGAUUUGUCGAGAACCAGCUCAUGCCCGGAGUGGAGUCUGAGCCAAAAGGAUAAAUAAUUACCAUGGAAUAAGUAAUGAAUGUGUGCAUUCAUGCACAUGUCGAAUCAAUAAGAUAAGAAUGACAAUCUCAAAGGAGUUUAAUGAAUAUUGUUAGACAUAUGGAAUUAACCAUAAUGCAAGACGAUAAGGAAAAACAUGAGCAAUAGGCUACUGAGGAUUAUCGGAAGAUCGAAUAGUAUUCCGAAGAAUUUUGUGAGACAUAUGAACAACUGGGGAUGCCGAAUCCCCGAUAAGUGUGACGAAUUAUUCGUAGGGUUAUUCAGGCGGAAAAGAGCUGUAAGGCAGUCAGGAAAAAGAUUCUCAAAAGUCGGAGAAUACUUUUGGGUAUCUGGUAAUAACAAGAACAACUAGGGGUGGAAGUAUGAACGGCGAGGUACGCAGUUAUCCAUAAGGAUUCAACGGUGUUAAGGGAUUGCAAUGGAAAUUGACACAAGUUCUCGAGAGUAGAUCGGAGAGUAUCUUCGAUGUCUUCUCGUGUAGCAGGCAACCAUCCGGAAUGAAGGGGCUCUCCGAGGAAAGUCGUCACGAGAACCUAAUGUAGUUAGUAAAUUCAUUUAAUCCGAAUAGAAGAGAGAACAGAGUCACAGAGUAUAGACGAGGAGUAAAAGAUCCUAAUACCACCCAAUGGCGACAUGGGCACGUAAAACACAUAGCCAAUGUUAGUAAAAGUGUUUUCAGUGACUAGACUCAACUUCGGCCAAGGAGUUGGAAAGGGGGCUACCUACAGGCAGUUGGCUCUGAUACCAACUUGUGAGGACUCACGGGAAGAUAUCACAACACAACUCUAGACACAAAUUAAAAUAAUACCAGCUUUAUAUUACAAGCCAGGGGCCUCGAGGGCUCGAAUACAUAAGCUCGAAAACACAAGAGUCAGCGGAAGCAACAAUAUCUGAGUACAGACAUAAGUUAGACAAGUUUGCCUUAAGAAGGCUAGCACAAAAGCAUCUACGAUCGAAAAGGCAAGGCCUCCUGCCUGGGAGCCUCCUAACUACUCCUGGUCGUCGGCGUCCGUCACGUGGUAGUAGGCACCCUCGGGGUAGUAGCAAUCUUUAAAGGUGUCAUCUGGCUCCUGGACUCCGUCAUAUGGUUGCAUCAACCGGAAAGAAAAGAAAGGGGGAAAAGGGGGAGCAAAGCAACCGUGAGUACUCAUACAAAGUACUCGCAAGCAAGGAUCUACACUACAUAUGCAACAUUAUCAAAGGAAGGCUGUAUGUGUGGACUGGGCUGCAGAAAUGCCAGAAUAGAGAGAAGGCCUAGUCCUAUCGAAGACUAGCAUCUUCUGGAAACCACCAUCUUGCAGCAAACAGGAGGGAGUAGAGUAGCAUAAAGUAAGUAGUAGUAGUGUUAUCAACCUCGGCCAGAGAUCCUUUCUCGACUCCCUACGAGAAAGCAAUCCCAGAGCCAUACUAUCCAAUUGUCAUCACAAUCCAAUUCUCAUCACCAUCCAAUUCUCAUCACAAGUAUCCAGUUCUAGUUGUAUCGAUCGGGAUACAACUCCGAGUGUCCGUUACCGUAGGACAGGCUAUCGAUAUAUGUUUUCUUCCAUGCAGGGGUGCACCAACUUACCCACCACGCUCGAUUAACUCCGGCCGGACACACUUUCCUGGGUCAUGCCCGGCCUCGGCCAAACAAUACGCCGCAACCCGACCUAGGCUUAAUAGAGAGGUCAACACGCCGGACUAAACCUAUGCCCCCAGGGGUCAUGGGCCAUCUCCCCAGUAACUCCUGCACGUUGCGUACGCGGCCUGUGAGCAGACCUAGCCUCCCUUAUACAAGUGAAGGCGUAACCAGACCAACCCGGCGCGCGCCGCUCAGUCGCUGACGUCUAUUAAGCUUCGGCUGAUGCAUACGACGCAGAACGCCCAUACUAUGCCCACGUGAUGGUUAGUGCUAUCAGGCCAGAGGCCCCUCGGAUCAAAUAUCCAAAUCGUAGUGGAUUAGGAACGCGCGGUAACAAGCAUAGACUCGCGAAAGAUGUGACCCCGUCGCCCCAUCUCGAGGACUUGCGGCAAGGGCUAAGAAUGUCCGGCCACACCUCGUAUUCAACUCUUGGGUACCCUCCAGGUCAACCCGUCUCCACAUCACUCGCAAUUAUGCUCGCGCGGGUACCCCUUAGGGUCCACCCGUCUUUAGUAACAUGGUUCAUUGUAAAGUCAUAGUAACCAUAGUAACUGUGUGUCUAAACUUCAAGGGGAAAACCCGAGGAAUCACCCCCGGUGAAUUCCACUCGAUGUAAUCAUCAAGGUGAACGUAAGAGGGACCACCCUCGAGGUCCACACUUGAGGGGUUGCACGACAAAGUCGUAUCGGAAGUGGUUAAAGAGGAAAUCACCCUCGAUGACCACGACCGAAUUGCUACUCUAUAGGGUUAACAUCAGAAGUGCUGUAGAGGCCUCACCCUCGGCACUCGAUAGUAACCCAGUAGUGUCGAGCAACUAAGGGGAAAGUGAUGUGCGGUGUCGGGGCCUGGUCUUCGAUCCCGUUGAUCGGGUCUUCAAUGAUGAAGUAGGGGCAACAAGGACAAGGUGGGGGUCACUGAUGGAUCACUAACCAACCUAUACUAAGCAGUUUAGGAAAGCAGGUAGGGUAACAAUAAGCAGGCUAUGCAUCAGAAUAGGAGCAAACAAUAACAAUAGUAAAAUCUAAUGCAAGCAUGAUAGAAUAGAAUGGGCGAUAUCGGGAUGAUCAAAGGGGGGGCUUGCCUGGUUGCUCUGGCAAGGAGGGGUCAUCGAUGACGUAGACGAUCACAGGGGCAGCAUCGGUCUCGGGGUCUACCGGAGAGAAGAGGGGGAAGAAACAGUAAAUAUAAAGCAAACAUAACUUAACAGGACAACAUGCAGAGCUAGACGUGUUCUAACGCGGUGCUACACGAUACCGGCGAGGGGGGAAGUCAACCGGGAUUGUUUUCCCGGUUCCGGACCUGUGUCAGACAUAUGAUCAGAGGGGGAAAGUUCCAUGUUCAGCAUGCUAGGGGCAUGUGACAGAUGAACGGACCGCGUAUUCGGAUUCGUCACGUUUUUCUGAGCAACUUUCAUGUAGAAAACAUUUUCAUCCGAGUUACAGAUUAUUUUAUAUGAAUUUUCUAAGUUUUAAACAUAUCCUGAAAUUAUUACAAAUUCGAAUUUAAAAGUGUAUUACUUUUUAUACACACACACAACUAGCCUAUUAGAAUGACAGGUGGGGUCCAGUGGCAGACUCAGCAUACACAGUUAGCGCAAGUCCACAGUCAAUGUUUGACCUGGUCAAAGUGUGAAUAGUGGCCGUGGGGCCUACUUGUCAUUGACUACAAUUUUAACUAAAAGGGGAAUUAGUGUGAGGGACCACCUGUCACAAACACAUUAGGCUAUUUAACAUAAGAAGUAGCAUCCCUAAAUCUAAUUAGUACUAACUAAUCUGGAUAGGGCCGGCCUCUUGGACAGAGUCUGUAGCAGCAACGACGCAUCAGGCAAAGCAAGCAAUAACGACUUCAGGUAGAGCAAGCAGCAACAAAGUAACGCAGCAACAAGCAGCCGCAUGGAGCAGGAGCAGCGGCAAGAGGAGCCGAGGGCAGCUCGGCAGCCGGCAGCAGGCACAGGGGCGCGACCACGAGCGGCUGGGCACGGGCACGGCGGCCGGGCACGCACAGGGACAGCAGGCAACAGCAGUUCCAGAGCAGCGGCAGCGCGUGUGGGGCAGCAAACAGUAGCAACAGAAGGGCAGCAGCGGCAGAAGACCUGGCGCUCGGCAAAGCAGGAUGCAGCCGGGCGCGGGCGAGCGCGCGUAGGGCGGCCAAGGUUGCGGCCGGACGCGACCAGAGGCGAGGGAGCGCGGGGCUGAGCGGUGGCGCCGGCCCGGACUUGACGGGGUCGAAGCCACGGGCGCGCACACGACGAGCAUGAGGCUAGAGGAGCACCUACGCGAUGUAGCGAAGAUGAUGGGCACACGCGUGUGACCAAUAGGCCACCGGAGUGACGCCGGCGACCAGCCGUGCGGCAUCAAGCUUCGGCCAUGACGGUCCUACGGCCUAGAGGACGAGCUCGUUCAAGAGAGUUGAGGGGGGAGGAAGAGGAGCUCACGGUGAGCCUGUAGGUGUGCAUAGCAUGCUCGGGGAAGGCGCGGAGGCGAUGAAUUCCAGCAAUGGCGUUGGCGGUGCAGAGAAGGGGAACGACUCGAUCCGGUCGAAGCAGAGGCACUCGGCUCGUGUUCUUCAGCGUAGAGGAAGCAGCGGAGGCGGGAGGAGCUCCUGGCGCAAUCCUAGGUGGUGGGGAGGGCAGUGGCCACGGGAUCGACGAGGGCCAUGGCGACGACGGAGUUGGGCACAUCCAGAACGGGAAGAGGGAGUGAGAAGAGGGGCGAAUGGGGGCUAGGGUUUGCAGGGGGGUUCGAGAUGACCUUGUAGGACGCCGGUGCGUCGCUCGAUGGCCGG
rnacentral:lncRNA from 1 species